ensembl:lncRNA
UUUGAGUAAUAAUAACUUUUGAAUAACUUAUGGAGAACAUUGUUAAAGGUGAAAGUAUCACAGAAACAGGAACUCCAGGACAUUUAAAUAUAUCGAGAAUGAGGCUUUAUAAAGACUAUGAAGGCUAAUUUGUAUAUCAAAUAUAAACAGGGUUACUAGUGAAAACAAGGUCCAAAUAGGGUAAUUCAAAAAAGAAUAUUUAUAUCUUUUUAAAGAUCCCUCAGAAAACAAUAUUUGAAGCAAUCAGGAUAAUCUACAUAUUUCUUACAAAAAUACGUUUGUUUUACAAAGAGCAAGAUGAGCAAUUAAAAUAAAACUAAUAAGGAUGUUGUAAAUGUCUGGAGCUAAGAUUUCAGAAUUAGAGUUUGAGAUGAAGAAGCAAUUUCUUGGAUACUAAAGUUGUAGAGGUGUCAAUAUGAAUGUGUGGCUUCCUUGAAUAGUGCUCAUGUAUGCAGGGAUUGGUGUUGAUAAUGCAACUAUUAUCAUUUUUGUGAUUUGGUUUGGAAAGGACAGGAAAGGAGAGUUGUAUAAGAGAAAGGAAUGGGAUUCUAUCAAACAGGGGUGGGUAGACAUUUGCUGACAAAUGUACCUGGAAGGUCACCACUGAGUUGGGCUGGGGGAAUUAUCCGUAGUUGAGGACUACAUGGUUGACUGCUUGAGCAUAGAACCUCAGUGGGGAUUGUAACCUUUUGCAGGGAAAACUGAAAAAAAAAAAAAAAAAAAGAAUGUUAAUUUAGACAAGUACAAAGUUAGGAAGACAUGAAAACUUUUGAACAUAUUUGGGAUUGGCACGUGGUUUAGUGUGGUUAAAAUACGCCUAGGUUUAAAUCCUAGCUGUGCUGCAUUACUGGCUAUGUAAUCUUGUAAGCCUUUAAUAUCUUAGCCUUGGUUUCUUCUUCUGUUAAAUGAGGGUAAACAUAGUGCUGACAAAAUGUGAGAAUUAAAUGAACUAAAAUACCACAGCACCAUCACAUAGCAUCUUUCACAUUGCAAAUGCAAAAUCAAAGAUAGCUGCAUCAUUAGAAAUCUUAUUAUUAUUACUACUAGAGCUGGAGAGGAUUGGGAAAGAAUGGAGAAGUGGCAGGAGCUGAGUGAGGCUAAACACGUAGGCUGGGGUCAGAGUGUGACGCUAGAGUGAGAUAGUAUUAAUCACAGUUUUUUUUAAAAAAAUAGUUUUCCUUUCUUGUCUUCUCUGACAUCAUACUUCUGUGGGUUUUAUCUUACUUUAGAAGGUUGCAUCUCAAUUUUAUUUAGUGGGUUAUAGCCUGAGUCUUCCAGACUUCUUGUGAGACCAUGUCUUUUCCCUAAAAGAUUUAGUCUAUUUCAUGGACUUAAUAAGCAUAUCUUAAUUUAUUUUUUUCCCAAAUUCUACUCUGAACUGGGACCUUCCUUGGAUAUUUCAACCUAAGUAUUAUACCUCACCACACUCCUUUGUUCUUGUGCCUUCACUACUCCACGCUCUCCCACUUUACCCCCAUUACCACUCCCAACACCACACCCAAGAACUACUCAUUUCCAGUGCUUUUUAUCUCCGUUCUUGAUUCCCAGCAAUAAAAAAUAGUUGCAACUAAUAGUUUCUGGAAUGCAGUUUUAUUCUUAUGCACUUUCCAGAUGCCAUUUCUUUUAAUUGGCGUACCUAUCCCAAACUCAGAUAUCUUUCCAUUCUGAAGCCCCUAAAAUAGAUGAUCACUCCAUAUUCUAUGCCAUCUCUGUACCUUGAACAUGCUCUUGUGGCUGCACAUAUUGCAGUGUGUUGUAAAGGGCUGUUAAAAUAGCUGACUCUCCUAGAAUUACUCCGUGGGCAACUUGCAAGUCCAUGCCUUUUCAUCUUUGUAUCUGCCGUACCUAAUGAACUUCAUCACUCAUACUAGCAAUACAGACUCAUAAAAUAGUUGUUGAAACAACUGGUUUUAUCCCACAGGCAACAGAAAGCCACCAAAGUUUUUAAGUCAGUGAAUACAUUAUUGAAUAAGUGUUUCAGCAAGAUAAUUCUGGCAGCUAUGCUAGAUAGGUUGGAGGGAAAUGAGAGACAAAUGGCAGAAAAUCUAAGAAGCUUCUUUAUGCUCCAAAUGAGAGAUGGUGAAGGUUUGACAGUGACCAUAGAAAUUAAAAAGAAUGAAUAAAUGUGAGAUAUUUUGAGGCAAAAUACCUGAUUUAUUGAGCAAUGGGACAAAGGAGGUGGAGGAGAGAGGAAUAGGGGACAAUUCUUCAGUUUUUAGCUUGGUUGACCAGGUGAGAUAAAUGUUGAGAUAGGGAGCUUAGAAGGAAGACUUGCUUAAUGAGAAAAAAUAAAUGCUAGGUAUGGUUUUGAUGGAUGUGCUGAGGGACACGCUGCUAGAAAUGUCUAAUAGGAAAUUGGAGAUUGAGGUAAUGUAUAUAUUUUCUAUGUUUUAAAGCAUUUAUUCAAAUAUGUAUGUUGAUUUUAAGAGUAUUUGUACAACUUUAGGAGACAUUUCCUAUUCUUUGUUUUCUACGCCUUUAUCUCCUCCUUUACUAUCUAACCAUAGUGUACUCAGUGCUGUAUAGUAAGAAUAAGGAGUAGAAAAAAUAAGUCCACAGAGGGUUUGGCACCUCCUCACCCCUUCGUUAUUCUGACCUCCUCAUUAAGGAGCACAAACACACGGUGCUCAUCACCACAGAGGCAAUGAAUACACAGAAGUCAAGAAUGGAAAAAUUGCUCAAGGUCCUAUGGGAAUUAAUAGUGAAACUUACCUGCAUAUUUUAACUCCCCAAAGUUUUAACUCAAGAGAGCAUUAGACAAAUAUAGUUUAACUCUCUCUAAAGAUGUUGAAGAAUCCAUCGCUUCUCUCCCAUUCAAAAUAUAACAAUAAUGUCUUAAUGACAUUGUCUCCAGAGAGUAUUAGGCUUAUUAGGCUGUCUUGAAAACCCGUGACAUUAGCCUUUGAGUUUAACUAGAUUCUUGUGAUUCUAGAUGAGACAUUUAAGAGCAUCUGUCCCUUAUGACCCCUAAUGCAAUUGAAGAAGCAACGUGGUACACGUUUCCCUGAAUAGGAAGGAAAAGAGUAUUAUGACGUAUGUAGCAUGAGGUGGAAUAAUUUCCCUGAAGACUGUGAUUGCAUAGUGCAGAUUUUGUG